UACGGGGGGGGCAAGCGUUGUUCGGAAUUACUGGGCGUAAAGGGCUCGUAGGCGGCCAACUAAGUCGGAUGUGAAAUCCCCAGGCUCAACUUGGGAACUGCAUCCGAUACUGGAUGGCUUGAAUUCGGGAGAGGGAUGCAGAAUUCCAGGUGUAGCGGUGAAAUGCGUAGAUAUCUGGAGGAAUACCGGUGGCGAAGGCGGCAGCCUGGACCGGCAUUGACGCUGAGGAGCGAAAGCCAGGGGAGCAAACGGG
rnacentral:rRNA from 1 species